UCAAGUAACCACACAAAUGCAUGUAGAAUUAAAACUGACCUAACUGUUAAGAAGAGGAGAUAGGGCAAGAGUAUAUUUAUCGAGAGUAUUCUAUCUGGUCAGAGAUGAGAGAGAAAGAUUUUUCUGGGUAAAGUUAACAAGGUAUAUGGGGUGAGGGUGAGGCCUAGCUUCCCAGGACCAUGCAGGAUUUUCACUGCUAACUUGGGCCACUUGCACACCAGUCAUGUCAUUACACUGACAAGGUGGGAGAGGUGAUU
rnacentral:lncRNA from 1 species